rnacentral:rRNA from 1 species
UGAGGAACAUGACCUUCGGCGGGGGAGUAGCCGGCCCAACGGCCGGGUAAUACCGCGUACGACCACAUGGGGACAUCCCUGAGUGGUGAAAGCAGCAAUGCGUCGAUGGAGUGCCUCGCGGCCUAUCAGCUAGUUGGUGUGGGUAAUGGCCCACAAGGCGACGACGGGUAGCCGGCCUGAGGAGGGUGACCCGGCCACACGUGGGACUGAGACCACGGCCCAGACCUCCGUACGGGGAGGNACGCG